UAGAAAAGGGACUUCUGGAGUGGCACUUG
rnacentral:piRNA from 1 species